rnacentral:lncRNA from 1 species
GAGGAGACUUGAUCCGAGGGCCAGACGGGUGUCGCCCUAGUGACCCAGGAGGGUCUUCUGAAGUGACCCAGUCUCUGUAGUACUCCGGCAAUAAAGACCGACCAGCGACGGUGAAAAAAAACUGGAAGGCCUCCCGGCUGCAGUGAGGCGGAACGUCUUUUGGCCAGAAACCGAAAGAAGAAAUCGGAAGUGACGUCGCGGUCAAAACAAGCCGGGGUUUGGGGGCCUGCAGUGACUCUGUGGCCGCAGAUGGAAAGGCCCGACUCGCUGUCGGCUGUCGAAGGACAAUUUCAAGAUUAGGAAGAACCGGGGGUCUCCUGUUACUAGGAUCCACCGCGGACUAGCACAGUUGCCCAGUGUGUCUCUCCCUUCAUCCUUGGGCUCUGACCGAUGGAGAUUUUUCAAUAUCUGAAUUCCAAGAACACAGUGGAUACCACUCCUAUAAAAUGAAGAGGAAAUCAUGAAGGAGUGUUUUAAUUA